GCACCUGUAGCUCAAUCUGGAUAGAGCAACACACUCCUAACGUGUAGGUUGUCGGUCCGACUCCGGCCAGGUGCG
rnacentral:tRNA from 2 species